rnacentral:rRNA from 1 species
UAAUGCCGCGGGGCUGCAUGGCCCUGCGGCCAAAGGAAGCGAUUCCGGCAACGGAUGGGCAUGCGUGACAUUAGCUAGUUGGCGGGGCAACGGCCCACCAAGGCGACGAUGUCUAGGGGUUCUGAGAGGAAGGUCCCCCACACUGGUACUGAGACACGGACCAGACUCCUACGGGAGGCAGCAGUGAGGAAUAUUGGUCAAUGGGCGCGAGCCUGAACCAGCCAAGUCGCGUGAGAGAUGACGGUCCUACGGGUUGUAAACCUCUUUUGUCGGGGAGCAAAUUCCGCCACGCGUGGCGGAGUCGAGAGUACCCGAAGAAAAAGCAUCGGCUAACUCCGUGCCAGCAGCCGCGGUAAUACGGAGGAUGCGAGCGUUAUCCGGAUUUAUUGGGUUUAAAGGGUGCGUAGGCGGACUGUCAAGUCAGCGGUAAAAUACGGGGGCUCAACCUCCGCCCGCCGUUGAAACUGACGGUCUUGAGUGGGCGAGAAGUAUGCGGAAUGCGUGGUGUAGCGGUGAAAUGCAUAGAUAUCACGCAGAACUCCGAUUGCGAAGGCAGCAUACCGGCGCCCAACUGAC